AAACCUCAACCUCCUUGGUUUCUUCUGGAGACCAAAGCAGGCUUGGACUUUGGAGGCCUUUGCUGGCACCUCUCUCUUUUGAAGGUCAGCUCCUCUUACAUGAAUUAGCAGGGUCCUCUUUGCUGAUCCUCGACGUGUGAUAAGAUGUUUCCAUGUCUUGGUUUCUGGCUCUGUCACUCUUGGGACCCGCUUCUAACCGUCUUGACCUUGCGUCGAGACAAUGUUCGAGCAUGUCUCCCAUCUCGGGAAGCUCCCUCGACCCCACGAAC
rnacentral:misc_RNA from 1 species